AAGUAGUAGAAUUAUACAAACAAAACUAUAAUAUUAUGGCGGCAUUUUAUCAUAUUAAAGGAACCUGUUUUUUAAUCGAUAAUCCACGAUAAAUUUCACUUAAUCUUAAAGUUUAUAUAUCUCCGUUUAAGAAUUAAUUUAAAACUAUUACUCAAAAUAAUCCUCUAAUAAAUCAGGUCAAGGUGUAACCUAUAAUUAAGUUAAAAUGGGUUACUUUAAAUAAAAUUUAAGGACAAUAUAUUAAAUUAUAAAGAAAAAAAGGAUUUAAAAGUAAUAUUUUAAUAAUAUUUUAUUUUGAAUAAGAUAAUAAAUGUGC
rnacentral:rRNA from 1 species